GGUAAUGAUAGCCGACACAUCCAUAGUGCUUACUCGCUACUGCACAGUGUGCAAAGCACUUUUUAAGUCAACUCAUUUGAUUUUCAUGACAGCGUAGGAGAAACUGAAGCACAGCUGAGGUGCCCACCAUCAGUAGAGCUAGGCCAGCAUCAGAGGAAGCUGGGCCUCCAAGCCCUUCUCGGACUCAGAAUCCUCCCAGCAGAUACCCAGGCAGAGGAGUGUGAACUCUCAGCCCCUAAAAAGGACUGCCCUGUGAGGCAGGCUCACAAGUGCCUAGAGGAUCUUCUGUACUGACUACAAGCCUCUAAGUGAAGAAGCAAAACAGGCUCUGGAUCUUGGAGGUCCUUGAAUUCUCCUGGGGCUCAACUUGAGGAUGCUCACGGCUCAGGCCUGAGAGGGGAGAAGCAUAGUGGGCAGGCAUCUCCUCUCUGAUCACCUACUUAGGUUUUGGUUCCCCAAGGAUGAUUUGCUGCCAUCCUGCUCAGGAGUGUGUGAAAAACACAGAAUGACAGGUGCCACUCCAGGCCCACUAAAUUCAAAUCUCUUGGGACAGGGCUUGGGAUUCUGCAUUGUCACCAGGGCCAUGCAUAGGCAAGUUAAAGUUGCAGACCUCCACUGUGGGGAGUAAUUGCCACCUUGCACAGUUUCUCCUUGGUUCUACAGGUAAGGAUGGAGUUUUGGGAAGACUCACAUAUAUAGAAUCUCAUUUUGGAUUCCGGGCAGGAAGUGAAUUAUUUAUAUUCAAAUGUAUCCUGACAGCAGAGAAACACACACAGAGGCUUUUGAUAACGUGGAUAGGUCUGUUGGAUUGUACCUCCAAAAAAAUCCCAGAGACAGAUUUAAAACCUCAUGACAUUCCCCAGCAGACCAUGUGUAAAUCCACAUGAUGGCAGAGUUACUUUUAAAAACAAAAAAAGCAUUAGCCGGGCG
rnacentral:lncRNA from 1 species